UACAGGGGGUGCAAACGUUGCUCGGAAUCAUUGGGCGUAAAGCGCACGUAGGCGGUUCGUUAUGUCGGAUGUGAAAGCCCUUGGCUUAACCGAGGAAGUGCAUCCGAAACUGGCGAGCUAGAGUACGAAAGAGGAUCGCGGAAUUCCCGGUGUAGAGGUGAAAUUCGUAGAUAUCGGGAGGAACAUCUGUGGCGAAGGCGACUGCCUGGACCAGCACUGACACUGAGGCACGAAAGCGUGGGGAGCAAACAGG
rnacentral:rRNA from 1 species